rnacentral:rRNA from 1 species
UACGGAGGGGGCUAGCGUUGUUCGGAAUUACUGGGCGUAAAGCGCACGUAGGCGGAUCAGUCAGUUAGGGGUGAAAUCCCAGGGCUCAACCCUGGAACUGCCUUUAAUACUGCUGGUCUGGAGGAUGAGAGAGGCGAGUGGAAUUCCGAGUGUAGAGGUGAAAUUCGUAGAUAUUCGGAGGAACACCAGUGGCGAAGGCGGCUCGCUGGCUCAUUUCUGACGCUGAGGUGCGAAAGCGUGGGGAGCAAACAGG